rnacentral:rRNA from 1 species
UGAAACUGCGAAUGGCUCAUUAAAACAGUUAUGAUUUAUUUGAUAAUCGAAAGUUACAUGGAUAACCGUGACAAAUUACAGCUAAUACAUGCACAAAGACCUGGUCCAAGGGUCGUAAUUAUUAGUACUAAACCAAUUCCGCAAGGAAUGUGAUGAAUCAUAGUAAUCGAACGAAUCGCAGGUACAUGCGAUAAAUCAUUCAAGUUUCUGCCCUAUCAGCUUUGGAUGGUAGUGUAUUGGACUACCAUGGCAGUCACGGGUAACGGAGAAUUAGGGUUCGAUUCCGGAGAGGGAGCCUGAGAAACGGCUACCACAUCUACGGAAGGCAGCAGGCGCGAAAAUUGCCCAAUCCUGAUUCAGGGAAGCAGUGACAAGAAAUAACAACUCUCAACAUUGUUGAGAAGUGUAAUGAGGAUAAUUUACAAACCUUACCGAAAGCAAUUGGAGGGCAAGUCUGGUGCCAGCAGCCGCGGUAAUUCCAGCUCCAAAAGCGUAUAUUAAAGUUGUUGCAGUUAAAAAGCUCGUAGUUGAAGUUCUGGCUGUAUUGGGCCUCUGCACUUGAUGCGAAGGAACCAGCAGUCAUCCGCUUGCAAAUACAUGUUCUUCCUUAACCGGUAGACUGUAUAAGUAAGCAAUUUACCUUGAGAAAAACAGAGUGUUCCAGGCAGGUUUGUCCGGAAUG